rnacentral:rRNA from 1 species
UAGGGAAUCUUCCACAAUGGACGCAAGUCUGAUGGAGCAACGCCGCGUGAGUGAAGAAGGUUUUCGGACCGUAAAGCUCUGUUGUUGGUGAAGAAGGAUAGAGGUAGUAACUGGCCUUUAUUUGACGGUAAUCAACCAGAAAGUCACGGCUAACUACGUGCCAGCAGCCGCGGUAAAUACGUAGGUGGCAAAGCGUUGUCCGGAUUUAUUGGGCGUAAAGCGAGCGCAGGCGGAAGAAUAAGUCUGAUGUGAAAGCCCUCGGCUUAACCGAGGAAUUGCAUCGGAAACUGUUUUUCUUGAGUGCAGAAGAGGAGAGUAGAACUCCAUGUGUAGCGGUGGAAUGCGUAGAUAUAUGGAAGAAUACCAGUGGCGAAGGCGGCUCUCUGGUCUGCAACUGACGCUGAGGCUCGAAAGCAUGGGUAGCGAACAGGAUUAGAUACCCUGGUAGUCCAUGCCGUAAACGAUGAGUGCUAAGUGUUGGGAGGCUUCCGCCUCUCAGUGCUGCAGCUAACGCAUUAAGCACUCCGCCUGGGGGAGUACGACCGCAAGGUUGAAAC